GUGGACUGGAGAGCAUCAUGGCAGCCGUCGUUCUUCUCAACUCAACGUGGGACUUGGACUUCGCCGUUUUCUGAUGAACUUUACUUGCAAAAAAUAGCAAAUUUCUUACCAAAACCGGUCAUGUGCAUUCAGUAAUUAUUUCAGCACAUGCUGUUGCACUAUUUAGAAUCACUUUAUUUUGACAUUCUUCAGCAAAACUUGGUCAAAACAAUUUGAAGAAAGCUACCGGUAUAUGAACCUUGUGUGUUGUGUGAGGCACGUGGACCAUGUGCGUUUUGCCAAGCAAGCCACGCCUUUCCCAGGACAGAGAACAACUUUUGAGUCAGUCAAAACUGCAGCACAUUAUUUGAAGCAAAAUUCUCAAAUGAACCCUUCAGUACAUUACUAUGAGUUCCUUGAAGUUUAUAUAGUUUCGACUACAGAGACUUUUAGUUUUAAAGCAAUUUCUGUGUCGAGAUUUGCGAGUGGCCGUAGCUAGCUCGAUUUCGUGUCACUCUUACCUACUGCAAAAGAAAAUUUCAUGGCUAAAACUGAACGCACUAGUCCUGCUGAUACCCCCACCGACAUCUUUAGCGUCGGUGAAAAUGACCGGGAAAGCAGCGCUGCGCUCGGUGGACCGAGACGGGGGAACAACGAGGUGGAGACCCGCCCAGCUCUGAGGCGAAACUGAGAGGACUGUUUCGUUUGGGUUGCAGAAAGAGGGAACAUUGGUACUGUGGACAGGUGCUUUGAACAACUGUGAGACCAGAUAGCUGAUGUCGAUGGAUUUGUGGUUAGUGGACGAACGGUGGAGUCACCGCUGGAGUCACCGCUGGAGUCAACGCCGGAUUCAGGUAAGGAAAACUUGGCAAAAUCCGACCUCCACUUUUCAAGCUUGCUCAAGUGCAAUAUGCUCCUCUUUGAUAGAAAUUUAUAAAAUGACUUUAUGGCCUUAAUUGCCAUACUCAAAAACACUACAGAGUCAAAGCUACUGGAAGAGAAGAGAACAAAUCCAAGUAAAGUUUCAAAAGUAUAAAACAGACCAAGCUAUGUGUCAACACUAAAAUGUCGCCUACAUCCCCUCCCCUUUAGAAAAACAAUGGGAAAAAUUAUUUUGCAAAAGAGGCACAGAAUGCAAAUCAGGUUUUCACCCAUGAACCGUCAAAAACUAGUUGUUAUCCCUCAAUCUUCAUUGACAAUAAUGUAUAAGAUGUGCAUUAAUAACAGUCAGAAGUUUAAGUUUCAUUUUUUACUUACUACCCUUCCCCUCCCCCUCCCCCACACUUGAGCAACUUGCAAUAUAAAAAUGGAAAAACUUGACUUGACUUUUCACCUAAAAAAAAGAGUGAGAAAUGUUUUUUUUUACAUUUGACUUUUUACCCAAAAUAAUGCGAGAAAAAAAAUGUACUCAAAAUUUUGACUUUUCACAACAAAAAAAAAUGGAAAAAAAAUGUUUUUUUAUUGGAAUGCAAUAUUGGAGGUCGGAAAAUGCAAGUUGUCCUUUCAAGAUCAAGACAAGGUGAAGACAUCGAAGUGUAAGAGGAGCUCUAACCCGUUCUCUUGCAGAGUCCCACCCCUCGUACCACCCCUCCCCUCCAAAAAUGUUCUGCGAUCUUGUUGAUGUUGUCCUUGCUUGUGCAGCUUUCAAGGUGACUUCAGAGUUUCUUGGUAUUUCUUGAUGCAUAUUGGUCGAAGCCAAUGAUGCUUUUUAAUUUAGGAGACUAGUCUUACUGGAAAUUUCUGUCGGGUUUGAUACUUCGAGUCAUCAGUUGUCAUGUUUAUUUACAAUUGUCAUAAUUUUUAAAUAGACAAAGGAUGCAAAAUCCAACUUAAAUUCAUAAUAUUUUGAUGAUAGAGCGAUUUUUUUUUAAAUUUAUUUAUUUCUUCCUCAUUUUUAUUUUUAUUUAUUAUUAUUAUUAAUUAUUUUUUUGUUUGGGGGUACUUCACCCUUUGGUACAGCACAUUUACUGUAAGCAAAAAACUUAAAACAUAAGUAUUUCAGAAGUAAUCUAAUAUGACAUGCAGUCAAAUACUCAAGUCUAAUCACCAUUCAUUUGAUGGUCAAUGCUUGAUUUAGGAGUAUUAAAUAUAUAAUUUAGAACAACUAAAUUAAUAUUUAAACAUGCCUAAUGACCGCAUUCCAUCAAUUCUGAAUGCAGACAUUUUACACUUAGCAAAACAGUUUUUAAAAUUUAAAGUUAGUAAAGUAAAUAUAGCUGUAACCCUUCCAAUUCAUCACAAAGUUUAACUUAAAGAAAAUCGAUUUGAGAAUUUGAUGUUUGAUUUAGGAGAUUUAAAUGUGAAAUUUAUACAAGAUAAGUUAACAUUUAAAUGCUCUUAAUAUCAGCAUUAAAUCAAUUCUGAAAGUAGACAUUUCAACCGAGAUAAAAGACGUAAUAAUUGUGAAAUUAAGUAAAAACAAUAAAUGAACAAAAUUACUGUAUACCUUCCUUAUAAGAUUAAAGUUAAAAUAAAAUAAAAACUUUGAAAAACUUGUUUCAAACACAAGUAUUUUUCGAAAGUUGUAGUCCUGAAACGCAAUCGUGUUUCAUUGUUCCUAUUGAUCCCUCGCACGCAUGUCACACACAGCGUCUCAGCACGGUCACCAUUUUGGUGUUCAAUAGGUUUACGUGUUAACGCCGCGUCGCCGAAAAUUCGCACUUCACUGAAUAGUGCACAGAGUGACAUUGCCCACCAGUAUGGCGCGUUCAAGAUUAUUCCGAUGAUGACAUCAGGCGAAUUGGGUCAAAAGGGCUCUUUAAAAAUACUUAUGUUACUCAUAAUAAAUCAAUAAUUUGUAAGCACUGCGAAAAAGAAAAAACACGGCAUAAAAAAGUGGUGGGAAGAAAAGAAACAACUCAAGACCAGAGAGUAAAAGAGAAAGAGAAUAAGCCGGGGAAAGGAGCAAACCUUCCAAAGAAACAAGAUUUCCAAGUGGUAUGUAUGAAUGGUAAGACAGAAAGGCCUAGAGACAAGACUUCCAUGUGGUUGUAUGAAUGGUAAGACAGAAAGGCCUAGAAAUAAGACUAACUCUCUACUCUUUAAGCAGGUCUACUGGUACAGGUUAAGUAUAAGGUGUGACUGGUCUAGUACUUAGUCUUGAUUCAAGUUGCUCUAUCUCAUUUCCUUCUCAGUGACAUAUUUUAAGGAUAGUAAAAAUAACUGUCCUUAAACAAAUAAAAUAUACUGUCUUGAAUCAAAACUAAGAACUAUGCUGUCACAGACUUUGAGUGGAUGGUGAAGUCUCUCUCUCUGAUGUCCCUGAUGGUGAGUGAGCCGGAGGUCAAUGAGGUCAGGGGUUGCAGCAAAGGUGAAGUUUAACAUCAAAGGUUAAGUAUCCGUAAGUAUAAAGGAACGCUAACGUUCUUCACAGCGUCUAACCAACGUUUUCUCAACAGCGUCUAACCAACGUUUUCUCUACAGCGGCUAACAAACGUUUUCCUCCCAAACGGCUUCUAACCUUUUUCAGCCUCUCACCAAUCUUCAAUCUUUUUAUUUUGUCUUCCACAGUAUGAUGCUCUUCCCAAAUGGAUGCAAUUUCUUGGUUUCAACACUCGAUCACGCAUACACGUGAUCGAGUGUUGAAACCAAGAAAUUGAGCUGAAAACUCCUUUUGGCGUUUCUGAUACUAAGGACCGAGGUCGGGGGGGGGGGG